GUCCAGAGAGAACCGGCUCGUGUCACCCGCGGAGUCGGACAAGAUGUCGGGCACUCCCUUGCCCCCGCCUCAGUUCAGCCCACCCCUUCCCGGGUCAGCUGGAGCCGGGCAGGGCCCGCCCGAGGGGAGUGCACAGCCGGCGCAUCACGUGACUCUCCCUGCCAACAGGAACUCCCCCAUCGCUACCCUAAAGGAUGAAAUUAAGAACUCUCAACCUGGCAUACAUGGUUCUUCAUGAUCUGGCCUCAUUUUAGAAGUUUCUAAGUAUGUAAAUAAUCAGUGACCAUUGUAGAGGUUUAUGUGUAAUUGUGAAAUGAAAUACAUGGACCAAUUUAGAAGAAGAUGGGGAAUUAGAACUAAGAAUAGGCAUUACUGACCUACUUUAUCUUAUAUACU
rnacentral:lncRNA from 10 species